rnacentral:rRNA from 1 species
CCUACGGGUGGCAGCAGUGGGGAAUAUUGCACAAUGGGGGCGACCCUGAUGCAGCGACGCCGCGUGAGUGAUGAAGUAUUUCGGUAUGUAAAGCUCUAUCAGCAGGGAAGAAAAUGACGGUACCUGAGUAAGAAGCCCCGGCUAACAACGUGCAAGCAGCCGCGGUAAUACGUAGGGGGCAAGCGUUAUCCGGAUUUACUGGGUGUAAAGGGAGUGUAGACGGCAUGGCAAGUCUGAAGUGAAAGCCCGGGGCUCAACCGCGGGACUGCUUUGGAAACUGUUAAGCUGGAGUACAGGAGAGGUAAGUGGAAUUCGUAGUGUAGCGGUGAAAUGCUUAGAUAUUAGGAAGAACACCAGUGGCGAAGGCAGCUUACUGGACUGUAACUGACGUUGAGGCUCGAAAGCGUGGGGAGCAAACAGGAUUAGAUACCCGAGUAGUC